rnacentral:rRNA from 1 species
UACGGAGGGAGCUAGCGUUGUUCGGAAUUACUGGGCGUAAAGCGCGCGUAGGCGGUUUUUUAAGUCAGUGGUGAAAGCCCGGGGCUCAACCCCGGAAUAGCCUUUGAAACUGGAAAACUUGAAUCUUGGAGAGGUCAGUGGAAUUCCGAGUGUAGAGGUGAAAUUCGUAGAUAUUCGGAAGAACACCAGUGGCGAAGGCGACUGAGUGGACAAGUAUUGAUACUGAGGUGCGAAAGCGUGGGGAGCAAACAGG